rnacentral:rRNA from 1 species
UACGUAGGGUGCAAGCGUUGUCCGGAAUUAUUGGGCGUAAAGAGCUCGUAGGCGGGUUGUCGCGUCGGCAGUGAAAACUCGGGACUCAACCCCGAGCCUGCAGUCGAUACGGGUAGACUGGAGUUCGGCAGGGGAGACUGGAAUUCCUGGUGUAGCGGUGAAAUGCGCAGAUAUCAGGAGGAACACCGGUGGCGAAGGCGGGUCUCUGGGCCGAUACUGACGCUGAGGAGCGAAAGCGUGGGGAGCGAACAGG